AGUCAACUGGGUGGAAAGAUGCCUUCUCCCGAAUAGAGAAUGCAGUGGCAAUUUCUCAGUCUUUCCUUGUUUUUCAUGAAAUUGAUAGAUUUAAAGAGGACUAACUGGUCAGGUAUUUUGUAAAUGUCUCUGAGUUUGUAUUUGUUUAGACUGGGCUUAUGAACUUGGGGGAAAUACCACAAGGUGGGAGUGCCCUUCUCAUCCGUUUACAUCAGGAAGUUGAGUUGAUGAUGUUAACCUUGAUCACUUGGUUAAAGUGGUGUCUUUGUAAAGUUACUAUUUUUCCUUCCUUUGCCCUUUGGAAGCAAGUCAGUAAGUCCAGUCCGUAAUGAGUAGGAGGGGAAAUACGUUCCACCUCCUGGAGGGGGUGGUACCCACAUGUAUUAUUUGUAAGUCUUUUGUAGGGAAGGAAGAUCUGUCCUUUCCCCUCAUGUAUUUGUUUAUUCAGUCACUUCAUUAUAUCACUGAAUUCACGAAUAUUUACCUUAUUCUUUCAGUUAUAAUCUCCUAUGGGUUGUCUUCACUCUCUUGACUGUUUUUUGAUGCACAAAAGUUUUAAUUUUAUGUAUUCACUUUUUAAAGUGUUUCAUAGGUAGUUGAAAAUAAUGAGUAUUGUCUAAUUUAAUGAGGCAGGAUUCUACACUUCAUUUUAUUGUUCAAAAUUUUUAUAUCCAUAUCCAUUAUUUGUCUGCCAAGCAGUCAACAAUUGAAAGAAAUGUGUUAAACCUUCCACUGUGAUUAUGGGUUUAGUGUAUUAUAUAAGGGUAUUUAUCACAAUAAUCCUUUUUUUUUUUUUGCCAGAAGUCUCCUUUGUCUGAUGUUAAUAUGGCUAGAGCACAUUUCUUUGGGAUAAUAUUUAACUGGAUUAUCCUUUUCCAUUUAUUUUAUUUUUGUGUCAUAUUUUCAGGAGUGCUGCUUUGUGAACAGCAUAGAGCUAGAAUUACUUUUUAUCCAAUUUGUGAGUUUCUGUCUUUAAACUGCUUGCAGGAUCUUAGUUUCCCACCAGGGGUCGAACCCUCGCCCCACGCAGUGGAAGCACAGAGUCGUAACCACUGAACCACCAGGAAAGUCUCUGCUCUCACUUCUUGAAGAUGUUUUUCCAUUAUUGCUGUCGACCUUUUUUGUCUGGAGCCUCCAAAGUAUCUUUGUGACUUUGGGGUUCUGUGAGUGUUCACUGC
ensembl:lncRNA